UCUUCCCCACAAAGCAGUGUGUCCCUUUACCCUCUGAGACCUCACCUCUGAGUUUCUGUUACUGAAAGCAGAGCAGGGACCUCUCCUCUGCUGCACACUGAGUCUCUCCAUCCACUCUCUGUCUUCAUCUCAACCUCAGAUUCACUGGUGCAGACCUGAGCCCUCCUUGCCAUGUCUGACACAGAGGAAGUGGUGGAGGAGUACGAGGAGGAGGUGGAAGAAGAGGAGGCUGCUGAAGAAGACACACAGGAAGAGGACAAACCAGCUGAAGACAAGGAGACAAAUGAAGAACAAG